UACGUAGGGUGCAAGCGUUGUCCGGAAUUAUUGGGCGUAAAGAGCGUGUAGGCGGCUUGGUAGGUCCGCUGUGAAAACUCGAGGCUCAACCUCGAGACGCCGGUGGAAACCAUCAGGCUAGAGUCCGGAAGAGGAGAGUGGAAUUCCUGGUGUAGCGGUGAAAUGCGCAGAUAUCAGGAAGAACACCCGUGGCUAAGGCGGCUCUCUAGUACGGUACUGACGCUGAGACGCGAAAGCGUGGGGAGCGAACAGG
rnacentral:rRNA from 1 species